UUCAUUUGUCUGCAUUAACGAUAUACAAAUCGUAAUUCAUUAUAGCAUAAAAGACACAAUUCAGCAAUCGGUGACCUUUUAACUGAAGAAAUCAGAAGAUAUACAACAUGGUCAAGGUAACUAAUAGCUCUUGAUUGAAAAACACCCUUGAUCCUUUAGCGUCAUGUUCCUCAAGGGAAACAAGCAGUUUCCUGAACAAUCGUUAUGGUCACUUGUCAGGAAGCCUUGAACCCUGCAAUAUAGCAGAAGAGGAAGGAAAUGUGAUUUAAUACCAAACAUCACAAGACAAAUAUUUAACAUGCCAGUGUACUAACAGUAUAACACCAAUGCAAAACUUAUUCUGAGCAACCAUUGUAGCCUUUCCAAACUUACUAAAAUUUGGAAGUUAUAUAUGUUCAUAAAUGUAGAUGCUAAUUGCACUCGGGUAAGCCUACACAGAAAACAACCUUGGACUUAAAUACUUUUGGUAUUCAAAUCACGACAUUGCUUACCUAAACAAACAAGAUCUACUAUAUUUCCAUUUUUCACAUUUACAUUCUAUUAUUAGGGAUAAACCUCCCAUUGGUUGUUAAGGCUUACCUUGAAGCUAACAUAGAGAUCACUUAGAUGAUAACAAUCUGAAUUUCCUUGGCCAACACUAAGACAACAAUUAAUGUUUGGACACUGAGUCUCGCGGAACAGGAGCACGUGGGUAGAGAAAAUAAAGAUGUAGAAAUAUUAGAGGCAAAGUGACACUGCUGCAUCUCAAUAGUAUUAUCCAAAAAAUAAUAGAACCAGGCAACAAAUCCUGAAAUUAAGAACCAAGAAAGCAAGUACUCAACAAGGCAUGCAACUAAUUUACAUAUAACACACUGCAUGUUUAGCAGUACUCACUAAUUAACAUUUUAGUACACCAGCUUCAAUAGGAGAGUACCAACAUGUGUAGAGCUGCCGAAAAGAAGCUGCAACGUAGUUGCACUUUGGGUAAAAAAAUGAUUUCAAUUGGGCUUUAGAUUCUUGUAGCACUUUUUGAUGACAUGAACAACGUCCUGUGUGAUGCUAGCAUCAUUAGUGUAACAAUGGAUUGUGUAUUUUAUCCCUACACAGGAUAUCUGUAAGAUGAGUUGGGUAAAGAAAUCAUACGAAGUCAAUUCAGUUACUCAAGUUUGAAAACUUCAUGUUCAGAUUUCUUCAGAUGUAGAAAACUGAUGGGUCCAGAUGAAAGGGUCUGUCCAGCAGCAUUGAUGUUAUUACAUAGAAGUGCACUACUAAGGUAAGUUUUUAAUGUGGACACCAAACGAUAUUGACAACCAAUGCAUGUUUGCAGAGUGUAAUCAGAGAAUUACGUAUAAAAACCUCCAUCCUAAAACAUGAGAAAUUCAAAAUGAACAUAAAGAGUCGAGCAUAUACCUUAAUAUAAUCCUUGAAAUUUUCCAUUGGGGUAUCAAUUAGCUGUGCAAGAAAUCAAAAAAUAAAAAUGCCCGUCAGACAUAGAAUCAAAUAUAAAAGAAUAAAAAAUAAUAAGUUAAAUUUAGAUGCAUAAGUUACAUUACAUGGUCAUAGGCAGCACUGAAGUAAUCACAUUUGGUGGUACUCGAAUCACCUGAUUAGAGUCAUACACUUUACCCAUUAGGCCACAAGAGCUUCUAUGUGAUGACAACAACAUCAAGCAAUUGCAUAUCCAAGCCAUGUGAAUCUGGUUUACAUACAAGAAAAGAAAUGCAUUGGAAAGCUCUGCUUACAUUGGGAGGAAGGGAAUAAAUCAUAAAUCUGCAGAUUGGUUUGAUAUUUGUUUGGCGAAUAGGAUUAGGGAGAUGCCGGCGGCACACAUUAUGUGUGCCCUCACCUUUGGAAAGUUUCCCAGGCUCGUUGGUCAGCUGUUUUGCAUGCGCCUCAGUGUCUAGACAUCAAACACGUACAAAUAGAUGGGGGAAUAUCAAGCAUGUUUGUGUGCCUAGCUAUUAGUUGAUCACCGAGUCACUUCCUCCAUCCUCUACAGGUCUGUGUAUCUCUCCGCAUUCUGCACAGAGAAGAUCGAUAUAUUACAGAUAUCCUCAGUUGCUAGUAAUAUAGAAGCAUCAUCAAGAAACAAAAUCAUUUGCCUGGUGUGCUGGCACGAGGUUAAUCAAUAUCCAACUCUAGAACUAUCGUCAAUUAUCCCCUUCAUACAAGAUUGUGAUCACAACAUCCUUUUUGUUCUACAGUAGAUGGUGUGGAUCAGUAACACAUCAACAUUCCUUUUGUUCUAUAUCAAAUAUGAGAGGAAAGAAGGGUUGGGAUUGGAGGAAGGGGGGCAACGGUGGAGGGGGCUGGGGUAUGGUGGCCGCGCCUACAUGGAUCCCGCCGCAGAGGGGGUGUGUGGGACGCGGCGAACGAGGGUCGUAAGUACGCGGAGGAGAAAUGAUAGGAGAAGCAGGACGGGGAGGAUACCUGUGCCUCCGUGGAUACUGUUGGGCGCGGUCACCAUAGGUAUACCUAUACCGCCGAGGCGCCGACCUCCAUCUAGGGCGCCGCCGGGGAUGGGGAUGAGGACCGAUUACGGGAUGCAGUAUGGGGAGGAGCGUUGCGGAACCAGUAGCGCAACAACCUGGGGCGGUAGUGGUGGCGUGGAGAAAGGGCAGCAACCUAGCGGCAGGGAUGUCGGCUUGGACUUGAUCAGCAGCCGCGAGGAACACCGGUGGCAGAGACAGGGAUCUGCGACAACUGGGAAGAGGAACUGAGCAGAGAGAGGGAAAGGGGAAGGCGUACGUUGAUACUGCAGUCACAAAUCCAGUGAGAUGAUGGAUCCGAUUAGGAUGAGGCGAACGGGAAGGAGAUGUCAAUGGGUGAAUUCACG
rnacentral:lncRNA from 1 species